UGUGUUUGUAUGAGUGUGUGUGUAUAUAAUGCAGAGUGUGUGCAUUAUAUACACACACUCAUACAAACACACA